rnacentral:misc_RNA from 1 species
CCUCUCUCUCUCUCUCUCUUCUCCUUCCCCUCACAUUCCCUUCUCUAUAUCAAAACACCAUAAUUAAACUCUACUUCUUUCUCUGUAAUGUCCAUAAACCACUUCUCUUCAGACCUUCCAGAAAGUCUCUGGUGGCCUCACCACCUCCACCACCAAAAACUAUCCAUCAUGGAACCAAGCCCAAACUCUAAUGCAUCCCUUUACCCUAUGCCACACAACUCCAAUUCUUCUUGGCCUUCUCAUCCCUACCCCCAAUAUGACCACCACCACCACCCCAUGUUCUCUCCCCAUAACCCCUCUCUCAAUUUCAGUCUCAACCGCGAAGACGAUGAAGAACAAAACCCUGAAGAAGAAUCACACCACCACCACCACCACCACC